rnacentral:rRNA from 1 species
CGCGUGGGAAUCUACCCAGUAGUGGGGGACAACAGUUGGAAACGACUGCUAAUACCGCAUACGUCCUACGGGAGAAAGGGGGCCUCUAUUUAUAAGCUCUCGCUAUUGGAUGAGCCCGCGUAAGAUUAGCUAGUUGGUGGGGUAAAAGCCUACCAAGGCGACGAUCUUUAGCUGGUCUGAGAGGAUGAUCAGCCACACUGGAACUGAGACACGGUCCAGACUCCUACGGGAGGCAGCAGUGGGGAAUAUUGCACAAUGGGGGAAACCCUGAUGCAGCCAUGCCGCGUGUGUGAAGAAGGC